rnacentral:rRNA from 1 species
UACGAGUGCCCCAAGCGUUAUCCGGAAUCAUUGGGCGUAAAGGGUGUGUAGGUGGCAGUGUUAGUCUGCAGUUAAAGCCCGGGGCUUAACCCCGGAUCUGCUGCAGAAACGGCACAGCUAGAGGAUGGCAGGGAUGUAUGGAACUCAUGGAGUAGGGGUGAAAUCCGUUGAUAUCAUGGGGAACACCAAAGAGAGGCAAGGU